rnacentral:rRNA from 1 species
CAGCAGCCGCGGGAAAACGUAGGGUGCAAGCGUUAAUCGGAAUUACUGGGCGUAAAGCGUGCGCAGGCGGUUAUAUAAGACAGAUGUGAAAUCCCCGGGCUCAACCUGGGAACUGCAUUUGUGACUGUAUAGCUAGAGUACGGCAGAGGGGGAUGGAAUUCCGCGUGUAGCAGUGAAAUGCGUAGAUAUGCGGAGGAACACCGAUGGCGAAGGCAAUCCCCUGGGCCUGUACUGACGCUCAUGCACGAAAGCGUGGGGAGCAAACAGGAUUAGAUACCCCAGUAGUCCCUGUCUCUUAUAU